rnacentral:rRNA from 1 species
AAGACUCUGCUUGACUAGCUGAGAGGAGGUGCAUGGCCGUCGUCAGUUCGUACUGUGAAGCAUCCUGUUAAGUCAGGCACGAGCGAGACCCACGCCAACAGUUGCCAGCAUGUCCUCCGGGGAUGGUGGGGACACUGUUGGGACCGCCUCUGCUAAAGAGGAGGAAGGAAUGGGCAACGGUAGGUCAGCAUGCCCCGAAUUAUCCGGGCUACACGCGGGCUACAAUGGUCAGGACAAUGGGCAUCAACACCGAAAGGUGAAGGCAAUCUCUUAAACCUGUCCUUAGUUCGGAUUGUGGGCUGCAACUCGCCCACAUGAAGCUGGAAUCUGUAGUAAUCGCGUCUCAAAAUGGCGCGGUGAAUAUGUCCCUGCUCCUU